GGUCAGUUUGGUUAGCUUAGUAUAAUAAUUUAAAGAAUGUGGUAAAUGACUAAACCAAAGAAUCCUGGAGUUCAGAGAGGGCCUUGACACUGAAAUUCAAGAGCCAAAGUACAUUCUAAAACCGAAGGCAAAAUAUCUCAGCCGAGCCAGCCCCUGCCCUCCCACCUGUAAUGAAUCCGCUGCACAGCUCCCGGGGCUUGGGGAAUCCUUUCAGAUUCUUCCCAGGUUCCGGGUGUUCGGUUACUCGGUACUACUCAGCAUGGAGAAAUCCCAAAGAGUCUCUCACAGCAAGGAGUCUUCACUCUGCCUAGUAGUUCAGUAAUCUGCUAGUGAAUCAACGGCAAAGGAAUAAAGAAGAUAGAACCGUCACUGUCUGGCCUUUCCGGUUGAAAUGUGCGACAUUUCAGGCUCCAGCAUCAGGGGGUGUAGUCCAGCCCCUGAAAGAAGGACAACGGUGGAGAGAGGUUGUUGUCCAGUUGCUCAGUCGUGUCCAAUUCUUUGCGACUCCAUGGACUGUAGCCCGCCAGGGAAAGAGGGUGUCUGUGUACAUCUGUGUCCUUAGAGGGAGGUCGGAGGUGCCUGGGUCCUCGUCUCCACCUCUCCUGCACAGUCAUGGGCUCUGUGUGUGCUGAAAACCAGGCUAGGGGAAACCAGACCUACAGAAACGGUGGCUCCCUCCUCCCACACAGACACAGCAGGCGGUGGGGGCCGCCCACCUGCUCAGACCCCUGCGUGCUGCAGGCAGAGCAGUCCCAGCUGUGGAGGUGGGUUCGGGGGUCAUCUGGAGCCUGGAAAGUCCUCUCAUUUCCUGCUGACACUGACCUGAAAUUCUACCUUUGUGAGGAUGCUGAUGGAACAGGAAGCCAUGCUGGGAGGGGCUCCCCCUGGCUAAACACAGGACCGUCUGAGUAUCCGAAGCACUGACUCUAGACAUGGAAAUGGGGGAGCAAUUCUGUGAAUUCAUGGUCCUCAAGGGAAAACACCAAGUCCACAGAACAGGGCAUUUUCAGAAGCCAAAUAUCCAUAAGGGGCUUGUAUCUAAAAUACUUAAAGAGCUUCUGCAACUCAAUAAUACAAAGACAAAAAGACCCAAAUAACCCCAUUA
ensembl:lncRNA